rnacentral:rRNA from 1 species
GCCUAACGGCUGAACUGGCAACUUGGAGAAGUGGCAAGUCUUCCAGUAUGGGGAGCAAAACAGCUAUGGGUCAAGUCCGAUAUCUUUAGGAGAAGUCUUAUUGUGAGGGCGAGUUAUAUAACACCAUAGGACUGGCCGUCCCAUAUGAAAAGAUUAUAUUAGAAUUGAAUGAAGCUUUGUUUAUAUAUUGAUAAUGACAGUAUAUAUAUCGUGUCUUGACUAAUUGCGUGCCAGCAGUCGCGGUAAUACGUAAGAGACUAGUGUUAUUCAUCUUAAUUAGGUUUAAAGGGUACCCAGACGGUCAAUAUAGCUUAUAAAAUGUUAGUACUUGACUAGAGUUUUAUGUAAGAGGGCAGUACUUGAGGAGGAGAGAUGAAAUUUCGUGAUACCAAAGGGACUCUGUAAAGGCGAAGGCAGCCCUCUAUGUAAAAACUGACGUUGAAGGACGAAGGCACAGAGAACAAACAGGAUUAGAUACCCAAGUAGUCUUUGCAGUAAAUGAUGAAUGCCAUAGGUUAGAUUGAUCAAUUAUAGUCUAGGGUUAGUCUAGCAAACUAAUGCCCUAUGAUAUAAUUCAAAAUAUCUGGUCUAUAAAUGAAAGUGUAAGCAUUUCACCUCAAGAGUAAUGUGGCAACGCAGGAACUGAAAUCACUAGACCGNUUCNGACACCAGUAGUGAAG